rnacentral:rRNA from 1 species
CCUACGGGUGGCAGCAGUGGGGAAUAUUGGACAAUGGGGGGAACCCUGAUCCAGCCAUGCCGCGUGUGUGAAGAAGGCCCUCGGGUUGUAAAGCACUUUCAGUGAGGAAGAACGCCUGGUGGUUAAUACCCAUCAGGAAAGACAUCACUCACAGAAGAAGCACCGGCUAACUCCGUGCCAGCAGCCGCGGUAAUACGGAGGGUGCGAGCGUUAAUCGGAAUUACUGGGCGUAAAGCGAGCGUAGGUGGCUUGAUAAGCCGGUUGUGAAAGCCCCGGGCUCAACCUGGGAACGGCAUCCGGAACUGUCAAGCUAGAGUGCAGGAGAGGAAGGUAGAAUUCCCGGUGUAGCGGUGAAAUGCGUAGAGAUCGGGAGGAAUACCAGUGGCGAAGGCGGCCCUCUGGACUGACACUGACACUGAGGUGCGAAAGCGUGGGGAGCAAACAGGAUUAGAUAUCCGAGUAGUC